rnacentral:rRNA from 1 species
UACGUAGGGUGCGAGCGUUAAUCGGAAUUACUGGGCGUAAAGCGUGCGCAGGCGGUUGUGCAAGACAGAUGUGAAAUCCCCGGGCUUAACCUGGGAACUGCAUUUGUGACUGCACGGCUAGAGUGCGGCAGAGGGGGAUGGAAUUCCGCGUGUAGCAGUGAAAUGCGUAGAUAUGCGGAGGAACACCGAUGGCGAAGGCAAUCCCCUGGGCCUGCACUGACGCUCAUGCACGAAAGCGUGGGGAGCAAACAGG